rnacentral:tRNA from 1 species
AGGGUGAUAGCUCAGUGGCAGAGUGCAUGCUUAGCAUGCACAAGGCCCUGGGUUCAAUCCCCAGUACCUCUA